AUACAGUAAGCUAACCGGGCAGCUAGCAUUACCAUGCACAAAGCUAGCAACUUAGCUUGACGCUACGCUAGCGCCUUGCGAUGUCCGAGAGGCCUCUUAGCCAAGGCUAUUCAAACAAAGAUGUAAACAAAAUGUGGAUACAAUGCUCAGUUACUCUGUGAGCUGCCACUGGGGGGCGCCUUCUCCUCAUUACAGACCCUUUCCAGCUCAUUCUGUGGUGCGUUCAUGGACUCCCCGAUGCCUUGAUGCUGAGAUUUUGACUGCAUGACUACCACCAUUUCUAAUUGUUGCAACACUACAUUUAUUAAGUAAUGUAACAUUUUUUGAAUGUG